CUUGAUGGUAGGGUUUUUGUCUGGCCCUGGAUAUCUUCUGCUGGGAGUGACUGAUAGAAGGGCUUUAGGAUGAAUUUAGUUCCUCUCCUGGCCUGAGAGAUGCUGCUACUCACGCUGUGGAAGCUUGCCCAUGCUUUGAAUAGGUACCAGGCAUCUUUGCUGAUGCUCCAUGAAAUGUUUCCCUUUGUAUUCCUCAAAUGCCCUGUGAAGAGAAGGAGGUGAAAAUAAACCUGUUUUGCUUAGGGAAGGACACACAGGCAUGAUCUGUCAGCUGUAGGAUGCUGGUUUGGGAAUUCUAAUCCUCCUAUUAAAGGAUGAGAUCCGUGGGAACUUCCAGUGUUUAAAAAGUUGGCUCUUGGUCCCUGUCAGGUUAUUCCGGGUGUCAGAGAGAGGCCUCAUAGCUCCUCAUUUGGUCAAAGGAGGAUUCCCAGAUCCCACACGCUAAGUGGAAACCCUCSGUAGGAAACACCAGCCCCAGGGCUGCUCUUCCUGAAUUUGGUGCCUCUGCUCAGAUAGGACCCAGGACACUGACUCCACCUGAGGGUAAGGGCUCUCUGAGAUAAGCAGUACCCUCUCUAAAACCUUGUAAAAUCUCAGCUGCCUUUAGUACUUCCAGUGCUUGCCAGSAAAGUGAGAGACCAGAGCCCCCUCCUCGACUUCUGGACUCCAGCYGUUCCUCACCAGGCCAGGGAAGAGGCUACGGAGAUGGUGACCCUCCAUCCCUCCAUCGAGCAGGGCGUCCGUGCACUCGAGCGGUGCAAUGCAAAGAGAAGGGGCAAGAGAGAGCCCAGCUUKUCACACCGAGUCAUUCGGCUUCUCAGCUUGGAGCGGUUUCGAACUGCCUGGGCUCUCUGUUCAGAUCCCAGGAGAAGAAGAKGUCCAUAUGCUGUCAGAACAGGACAGCUCUUGUCUUUUGGCAAUGAGCAGGUUGGCUUUGGCCUCCAGCUGAAGUGGGAUAUACUCAUCCCCAAACAGCUUCUACCUCCUGAGAUCUCCGUCUAAUUGAAUCACCUUACACCUUCCAUUGAAGAGGAGAUAGGUGAGGAAGGGUCAUCUGUGUAUCCUCCUUUAAGCCUCCUUGGGUU
rnacentral:lncRNA from 1 species